rnacentral:rRNA from 1 species
CCUACGGGAGGCAGCAGUGGGGAAUAUUGGACAAUGGGCGAAAGCCUGAUCCAGCCAUGCCGCGUGUGUGAAGAAGGUCUUCGGAUUGUAAAGCACUUUAAGUUGGGAGGAAGGGCAGUAAGUUAAUACCUUGCUGUUUUGACGUUACCAACAGAAUAAGCACCGGCUAACUUCGUGCCAGCAGCCGCGGUAAUACGAAGGGUGCAAGCGUUAAUCGGAAUUACUGGGCGUAAAGCGCGCGUAGGUGGUUCAGCAAGUUGGAUGUGAAAUCCCCGGGCUCAACCUGGGAACUGCAUCCAAAACUACUGAGCUAGAGUACGGUAGAGGGUGGUGGAAUUUCCUGUGUAGCGGUGAAAUGCGUAGAUAUAGGAAGGAACACCAGUGGCGAAGGCGACCACCUGGACUGAUACUGACAUUGAGG